UUUAUGGAGAGUUUGAUCCUGGCUCAGGAUGAACGCUGGCGGCGUGCCUAAUACAUGCAAGUCGAGCGAACAGACGAGGAGCUUGCUCCUCUGACGUUAGCGGCGGACGGGUGAGUAACACGUGGAUAACCUACCUAUAAGACUGGGAUAACUUCGGGAAACCGGAGCUAAUACCGGAUAAUAUAUUGAACCGCAUGGUUCAAUAGUGAAAGACGGUUUUGCUGUCACUUAUAGAUGGAUCCGCGCCGCAUUAGCUAGUUGGUAAGGUAACGGCUUACCAAGGCAACGAUGCGUAGCCGACCUGAGAGGGUGAUCGGCCACACUGGAACUGAGACACGGUCCAGACUCCUACGGGAGGCAGCAGUAGGGAAUCUUCCGCAAUGGGCGAAAGCCUGACGGAGCA
rnacentral:rRNA from 1 species